AUCUCAUUAUGCUGACACUUCCUCAUUAUCUCCUUGAAUCAUUCCCAAGCCUCAAACUGUUUCGGUGUCCGUCUGGCAAAAGUUGUAAAUUUCCCUUCUGAACUU
rnacentral:snoRNA from 1 species